rnacentral:rRNA from 2 species
UCGAACGCGAUUUUUCCGGUUAGCAAUAACUGGAGAAAUUGAGUGGCGAAUGGGUGCGUAACACGUGGGAAUUUAUCCGGAAGUGGGGGAUAGCUUGCCGAAAGGCAAAUUAAUACCGCAUAUGCCCGUAAGGGCAAAGUGGGGGACCGCAAGGCCUCACGCUAUCGGAGGAGCCCGCGCCCUACCAGCUAGUUGGUGAGGUAAUGGCUCACCAAGGCUUAGACGGGUAGCUGGUCUGAGAGGACGACCAGCCACACUGGAACUGAGACACGGUCCAGACACC